CUACGGGGGGCACCAGUGAGGAAUAUUAGACAAUGGGCGAAAGCCUGAUCUAGCCAUGCCGCGUGCAGGAGGACGGCCCUACGGGUUGUAAACUGCUUUUAUGAGGGAAUAAACCCCUGGAUGCGUCCGGGGCUGAAGGUACCUCACGAAUAAGGAUCGGCUAACUCCGUGCCAGCAGCCGCGGUAAUACGGAGGAUCCAAGCGUUAUCCGGAUUUAUUGGGUUUAAAGGGUCCGUAGGCGGGACUUUAAGUCAGUGGUGAAAGCCUUCAGCUUAACUGGAGAAUUGCCAUUGAUACUGAAGUCCUUGAGUACACCUGAAGUGGGCGGAAUGUGUCAUGUAGCGGUGAAAUGCAUAGAUAUGACACAGAACACCGAUUGCGAAGGCAGCUCACUAAAGUGUAACUGACGCUGAGGGACGAAAGCGUGGGGAGCGAACAGGAUUAGAUACCCCGGUAGUC
rnacentral:rRNA from 1 species